AUUGGCUAACUUCCUAGUGACUGAGCAGCUUUUGUUUCAUGAGAUUAACAGUUUGGGAGGAAGAGUAGUUUAUCCUCUGGCAUGUUGAUCUAUCUGAGCAGUCUAGAUGUAUCAGAACAGUUUGAUUGCUUGCUCAGGCAGUACAUGACACCAUGGACCGCCAACUGCAUCUUGUGCACAUUGUAUCAUUUAUUAAAAAGGAAAAACAUAUCGUGCAGAUUGUGGAGACUGGAUAUCGAUGGUGAUGUUUCACUGGCAUCCGUCAGAGUUUCAGCUCUAGUUUAGCAGGAUUAUUCACAGCGAACAGUGAAUCCAGAAGUUGGUUGUUCCAUCCUGAGUUCCAGACAACGAAACUGAUGUGAGCCUCUCUCUUGAUAUCUCGAUGGAGUUAUUUCUGCAUAAUCGACCCUAUCAAAGGUGUCUCUCACCCUCCCUCCGUCUUGAGUCUUGAGUCUUGACCAACCUGAACCCUGACGAGGAGGAAGCUACCUACCUCCUCCCGGCCUCUCCACCGCCAGUUUUUCUCCGGCCACCUCCCCGACUACAUCCUCCACUCCUCCCCUGCAUCUGCUCUGGCCACAUUUGGCACUGACGCCACACGUCCCAGGAUGCUCAUUACCCGUUGUCGGGCAAGGCCUGAGCAAUUGUCUGCUGAACUAGGGCCAGCAUCUAUGACUCUGAGUUACUCAGUGUCUUGUUGGAUCUAUCACAUUGGUCCUCCGUCCUCUGACCAUCACGGCAAAUCGAUCGACAGGAACAGCAUCUGCAAAACUGGCACGUGAGAGAUACAGUACGAAGAUGUUUCUCGAUGAUGAUGAGCAGCACAUUAAUUCUUCCCUUAUUGUAAACCUUACUUCAAUUUAAAGCUGGACUUUAACCUUUUCUCGUAGAGCUAAGGAUGGACUUUAUCCAGUCCAGUGUAGUUCAGCUCCGGGAGGCAAGCGAAGCAACAACCUGAGUAAGAGUUGUCGCGUUGUUGCUGCUUCAGUCCGGACAAAUUAGCACUAGCUUGUUAACCCUGACGAAACUGGAGCACUGCUUCUUGUUCAGAAUUCAGAU